GACGAACGCUGGCGGCGUGCUUAACACAUGCAAGUCGAACGGUAAGGCCCUUCGGGGUACACGAGUGGCGAACGGGUGAGUAACACGUGGGUGAUCUGCCCUGCACUUCGGGAUAAGCCUGGGAAACUGGGUCUAAUACCGGAUAGGACCACUGCCUGCAUGGGUGGUGGUGGAAAGCUUUUGCGGUGUGGGAUGGGCCCGCGGCCUAUCAGCUUGUUGGUGGGGUGAUGGCCUACCAAGGCGACGACGGGUAGCCGGCCUGAGAGGGUGACCGGCCACACUGGGACUGAGAUACGGCCCAGACGCCUACGGGAGGCAGCAGUGGGGAAUAUUGCACAAUGGGCGCAAGCCUGAUGCAGCGACGCCGCGUGAGGGAUGACGGCCUUCGGGUCGUAAACCUCUUUCAGCACCGACGAGGCGCAAGUGACGGUAGGUGCAGAAGAAGGACCGGCCAACUACGUGCCAGCCGCCGCAGUAA
rnacentral:rRNA from 1 species